UACGGGGGGAGCAAGCGUUGUUCGGAUUUACUGGGCGUAAAGGGCGCGUAGGCGGCCACGACAAGUCAGUUGUGAAAUCUCUGGGCUUAACUCAGAACGGUCAACUGAUACUGUCGGGCUAGAGUGCAGAAGGGGCAACUGGAAUUCUCGGUGUAGUGGUGAAAUGCGUAGAUAUCGAGAGGAACACCUGCGGCGAAGGCGGGUUGCUGGGCUGACACUGACGCUGAGGCGCGAAAGCUAGGGGAGCAAACGGG
rnacentral:rRNA from 1 species